rfam:Trichinella murrelli scaffold386s, whole genome shotgun sequence.
ACUCUAGUCUGACUCUGUGAAGAGACAUGAAAGGUGUAGCAUAGGUGGGAGAUUGUCAAAUUGCCAUCGUUCGCGCGGUGGUCCGGUGAUCGCCAAUGAAAUACCACUACUUUGAUCGUUUCUUUACUUAUUCGGUAAAGCGAAAAAAUUGUGGCCAAUUUGGCGGUGUUUAUGUCGCUGUUGGUCAUUGUUUUCAUGUUAGAUUGAAGCUUUGUUUACAGCCGUCGCUUUGUGUCGCCAUUUGACGCAUUGUUGUACUGGGUUAUCCCGGUGUGUGGUGUAGUCAGUAUGGAUGAUCGGCGAUAGGUUUGAAGUGAUUCGCUCCGGAAACAGUGUCAGACGGGGAGU